UACGUAGGGGGCAAGCGUUGUCCGGAUUUAUUGGGCGUAAAGAGCGUGUAGGCGGCCAAAUAGGUCGGUUGUGAAAACUGGAUGGCUCAACCUCCAGACGUCGACCGAAACCAUCUGGCUAGAGUCCGGAAGAGGAGAAUGGAAUUCCUGGUGUAGCGGUGAAAUGCGCAGAUAUCAGGAAGAACACCCGUGGCGAAGGCGGUUCUCUGGGACGGUACUGACGCUGAGACGCGAAAGCGUGGGGA
rnacentral:rRNA from 1 species